rnacentral:rRNA from 1 species
AGAGUUUGAUCAUGGCUCAGGGUGAACGCUGGCGGCGUGCUUAAGACAUGCAAGUCGAACGGACUUCCUUCGGGGAGUCAGUGGCGCACGGGUGAGUAACACGUAACUGACCUGCCCCAAAGUUGCGAAUAACCCUCCGAAAGGAGGGCUAAGACGCAAUGUGCUGUCCCCUCGUGUGGGGCCAGUAAAGGCUGUGACCGCUUUGGGAUGGGGUUGCGUUCCAUCAGCUUGUUGGUGAGGUAAAGGCUCACCAAGGCGACGAUGCGUAGCUGGUCUGAGAGGAUGAUCAGCCACACUGGGACUGAGACACGGCCCAGACUCCUACGGGAGGCAGCAGCCAGGAAUCUUGGGCAAUGGGCGAAAGCCUGACCCAGCAACACCGUGUGGGCGAUGAAGGCCUUAGGGUCGUAAAGCCCUGUUGAUAGGGACGAAGGGCGAAGGGUUAAUAGCCCCUAGCUUGACGGUACCUUUCGAGGAAGCCCCGGCUAACUACGUGCCAGCAGCCGCGGUAAUACGUAGGGGGCGAGCGUUGUCCGGAAUUAUUGGGCGUAAAGAGCGUGUAGGCGGUUCGGUAAGUCUGCUGUGAAAUCCUGGGGCUCAACCCUGGGCGUGCAGCGGAUACUGCCGGGCUAGAGGGUGGUAGAGGCGAGUGGAAUUCCGAGUGUAGCGGUGAAAUGCGCAGAUAUUCGGAGGAACACCAGUAGCGAAGGCGGCUCGCUGGGCCACACCUGACGCUGAGACGCGAAAGCGUGGGGAGCGAACAGGAUUAGAUACCCCCGUAGUCC